UCCCUGAUGGCUCAGAUGGUAAAGCGUCUGCCUGCAAUGCGGGAGACCCAGGUUCAAUCCCUGGUUUGGGAA
rnacentral:tRNA from 1 species